rnacentral:rRNA from 1 species
AAUGAACGCUGGCGGCAUGCCUAACACAUGCCAGUCGAACGGCAGCACGAUCUGGCUUUGUUGUUUGGGGGGGAGAGGCGCGGGGGUGAGAGGUGCAUAGCAACAUCUCUUUUUUUGGGGGAUAUCAUGUAGAAAGACAUACUAUAACACCGCAUUCGCUGUAGGGGAGAGCGGGGGGGAUCUUCGCCCCUCGCUCGAAUGGAUGCGCCGAUGUCGGAUUAGCUAGUUGGUGGGGUAAAGGCCCACCAAGGCGACGAUCCGUAGCUGGUGUGAGAGGAUGAUCCGCCACACUGGAACUGAGACACGGCCCAGACUCCUACGGGAGGCAGCAGUGGGGAAUGUUGGACAAUGGGCGCAAGCCUGAUCCAGCCAUGCCGCGUGAGUGAAGAAGGCCUUCGGGUUGUAAAGCCCUUUUGUCGGGGAAGAAAAGCAGCCGGCUAAUACCGCGCGUGGAUGACGGUACCAGAAGAAGAAGCACCGGCUAACUACGUG